UAAGAUAAAGGUUCUUUUAAUUUACUGAAAUUAACUUUUACUUGAGUGAUGUCCUAAGGUCAACCUAUAUAAAUGCACAUGUCUGAACUGAAAAUACAGCCACACACCAACUUCACACAGUACAAAAUUGAUAUGAUGCUUGCGUUGUGACUGAGUGUCUUAUGGCGCAAUGUCUCUGAAUAAAGUGCAUGGGUUGGAAAUUAACUGAAAGUACUGAACAAAAUUAUUGACAUCAGAGAGCAGGAAAAUAUGAGUUUAAUUUCUCAGUUACAACAGUAUUGUACUGUAUCUGUAACGAUAUAUUCUUACCAUGAUAAUAAAUAUUUGGUUCACAGCUAUUGAUUAUCACAAGUAGAAACCAGCAAACGCAUUACAUAUGUUCAGUAAAGCCUUUCAAUAUUUUUUCCGUCGGUGUCACAAAAUGAACACUCCAAGUGGUAUGUUUGAGCAUCCAUUCGUGAUUGCUCAUACGUGAUGUGGUGAUUACUUGGUAUGCAUGUCUUGCUUGCAUAUGUUAACUGAAGAUCCAUUUGUAAAGUACAAGACUGAGAAGUGAGAACUACCUUCAGGUUGCACAAAAGUUCCAAAUAAUCAUACUAAUGAUUUAGCCUUUCAGUUGAGCAUUGUAGAACUGUCACAAAUAUAAGAGUCUAUAUUUAAUCUUCAUGUUAUGAGAACAAGAACUUCAGCUUAUUUAACCCUGCUAUGGAAUAAUUAGCUCGAGAAUCACAAUGAGCCUUUUGUUUUCUUUGAAUGUUCACGACACUUCUACACAAGAAUUCCUACUUCUCGCUACUCAUGCGCUUCCGGCGGGUGGCGCAGUGAUUCCCUGCCCUUUUGCCACAACCUACCCACCAAUUGGUUGGUCUAGUGAGAUAUCUACAUAUUGGGUAUCUUACUAAAGUUAGUUGUAUACCAAGUUAAUUUAUGUUUCUUGCCAGAUGGUGCUAUGUCUUGAAUUAAUUCUUUUUUCUGUAGGCAGGUAAUGCUAGAUCCAAAGUUAAUCAUGGCAAGUCAAAGGUAUCUCAUACAUCAGACAACUAGAGUCAUCUAACAACGUCUUCUCUCAGCAUGGCGCUGUUCUCGAAUGUUGUCCUAACAUACCUAUUCUAACUACUUGAUGUUGGACUUGUGAUUUUGUUAGGCUUGUCCUCUCACUGAUUAAUGUGCUAGAUGGCAUCCCUUGUGAGGAGAACCAAAGGAUACGGUUUCAUCAAGUGCAAAGACCAAAUCGUUUAUUUGGUUGGUCUUGGCCUGUUGUGCUAUUAUUGUUAUACUGAUGUCCACAUUCCAAAUUAGCAAUUAGUUGCUCGAGGGUGGAAUGCUUACUUUAUGAAUUAUUAUGCAUGGCUAGUUAAUACACUUCUAUAACUAUGUAAUUUCCAUUUGCAGCUUCUAGGUUCUAGCUUUGUAGUGUGCAUCAUCUAGCUAAAAUGUUGAAAUGAUGUGAAAGUAUCUUAGAUAUUGUUGGUGUGCUGUUGUGAGCUGAAUUCUAGGUGUACAUUGAUGCAAAUGAACAUGGGAAUAGCUUCAGAAUUAUUCUUCACAUUUUUUACUAAAAGAUUGAACCACUUUCAUAUCUUGAAAUGAGAAUUUACUCAAGUUUCUAUUUGUGCUAGCGAUAAUUUUACUAUCAUGUUCAUAUAAGUAAAAUGCCAAAUACAAAUGGCCUUCAUUAGCAUAACUAUAUUACCAACACAAUAUGUAGUUGAAAAUCCCAAUACAAAUGAUAUCUUUAGUUCCUAGGACAGAUUUCGAUGGAUUAGUUCGUAAAGCAAGCG
rnacentral:lncRNA from 1 species